UGAGUAACGCGUGGGAAUCUACCCAUCUCUACGGAACAACUCCGGGAAACUGGAGCUAAUACCGUAUACGUCCUUCGGGAGAAAGAUUUAUCGGAGAUGGAUGAGCCCGCGUUGGAUUAGCUAGUUGGUGGGGUAAUGGCCUACCAAGGCGACGAUCCAUAGCUGGUCUGAGAGGAUGAUCAGCCACACUGGGACUGAGACACGGCCCAGACUCCUACGGGAGGCAGCAGUGGGGAAUAUUGGACAAUGGGCGAAAGCCUGAUCCAGCCAUGCCGCGUGAGUGAUGAAGGCCCUAGGGUUGUAAAGCUCUUUCAACGGUGAAGAUAAUGACGGUAACCGUAGAAGAAGCCCCGGCUAACUUCGUGCCAGCAGCCGCGGUAAUACGAAGGGGGCUAGCGUUGUUCGGAAUUACUGGGCGUAAAGCGCACGUAGGCGGAUACUUAAGUCAGGGGUGAAAUCCCGGGGCUCAACCCCGGAACUGCCUUUGAUACUGGGUAUCUCGAGUCCGGAAGAGGUGAGUGGAAUUCCGAGUGUAGAGGUGAAAUUCGUAGAUAUUCGGAGGAACACCAGUGGCGAA
rnacentral:rRNA from 13 species